rnacentral:sRNA from 1 species
GCAAUCGACAAGGACUCCCGUCGGAUGCAGUUGGUUUGUUUUCAGCCAACUUCAGGACUACUGUGCAUAUUUAAGCAGCUGCGAGGGACAACUUUCGUUCUGAAACUGUCAACGCAGACACGCCUACGUUCCGGGGUAAAAAAAAGGCGGCGGCGGAAUCGCAAUAAAAUAAAUUGUUUCAAUGCACGGCGAAGUAAUCCGCUUUACGGUCGCCCAUUCCUUGCGGUUUAAGAUUUAUGCACUGCUAAGACCCGAUUUCCACUCUGUUUUCCUUAUCACGCAGAUUUUUCCUUUUCUUUUUCCCAGCCCGAGCGCGGGAAAGGAAAGUGAAAGGGGGCCAAGAAGCUGGGAACUUUUCAAUUAAAGUGUUGAAAAAUUUAAAGUCUCGCCGGAUUAGAAGACGCGCGUGUUGAACACAUGACAAAUUAGCUUCCUAAUGAGCCGAGACAUAAAUCCAGACCCGCCACGCCCCUUGCCGCCUAAAGAUUCCCCGCCCACCGCGUUGACACGUGUACCUGCCUGUCCGCCUGACAUUGGAACAACAAGGAACCCGGCGAGGCAUUAGGACUUCAUUACAGGAACACGACGCCAAGUCCCUGGCUGAAUGCCUGAAUGGCAGGACAUGUGGGUGUGUAGAUGGGUCCUGUGCUCCUUUAUUGAAAUUAACUGUUGAUACAAAGGCUGCGAAUCGUUUGAGUCGACAGCAAA